CAGAGAGGGAGUAGGGGGGAGAUAGACGGUAAAGGACGUAAAAAGCAUCCAGCAUUUGGACGAGUGGGACGCUCCGGGAAAACGGGACGUAAAGACAGACAUUUAAGUGAGGAGAGCCCGCGUUAACUGCUGCAGGAGUAACGGUAACACCGGAAGGAGCCGCCGCUACAAAAGUACGAGCAAGUUCAAACAGUUGCCCGCUUAGUUAGUUUGGCUCGUCACCACUCUGUCAUUUAAACGCAACUAAGAGUGGUCUGUCGUCAAAGUGUUGUCAACUAACUCGCUGUGUGAGUCGAGAGGCCGGCGGUCGGUGACGAGCUGUCAUUUAAACUCACCUGCCAGCAGCAGGACUCUCCUCCACCUCCACACCCGGAACACCUGGCUCACAUUUAAAACACAGGCGAGCCUGUAGUGUCUGUAGUACCGCGACGAGGAGGAGGAGGAGGAGGAGGAAGGCACAAAGAGAGGAGAGAGCAUCAAGAGAGAGAGGAGGAAGGAGGACGGCGGCACUGAGGGAGCGGAGAGGACAACAACGGGGAGAGCGAGAGAGAGCAUCCCUCCGUCAUUUGUGAUCUGAGCUCAUCUGUGAAGAACGACUGGUCCAGCAUCAGUUGCUCCUCUCUGGAAACCUGCUCCUGAUCUGUUUGGCCCUCAGCCCCUGCAGUACCCAGUCGCCCUCUCCACUCUGUCCCAAUGAAGGAGGCUGAUGCCAUAAAGCUGUUUGUGGGGCAGAUUCCUAGGAAUCUGGAAGAGAAGGACCUCAAGCCUAUUUUCGAGCAGUUCGGCAAGAUCUAUGAGCUAACUGUGAUUAAGGACAAAUACACUGGCAUGCACAAAGGGUGUGCGUUUCUGACGUACUGUGCGAGAGAGUCGGCACUGAAAGCCCAGAGUGCUCUACAUGAGCAGAAGACACUACCAGGGAUGAACCGGCCAAUCCAGGUAAAACCAGCUGACAGCGAGGGCAGAGGAGAGGACAGGAAGUUGUUUGUUGGCAUGCUGGGUAAACAACAGAGCGACGAGGAUGUCAGAAGGCUGUUUGAGCCUUUUGGCAGCAUAGACGAGUGUACUGUGUUGAGAGGACCCGACGGCACCAGCAAAGGGUGUGCUUUUGUAAAAUUCCAAGGACAUGCUGAAGCCCAGGCUGCCAUCAACAGCUUGCAUGGAAGCCGUACAAUGCCUGGAGCAUCGUCCAGUCUGGUGGUGAAGUUUGCUGACACAGAGAAGGAGCGGGGGCUGAGGAGGAUGCAGCAGGUGGCCUCCCAGCUUGGGAUCUUCAGCCCCAUGACCCUCAAUUACCCCGCCUACAACGCCUACACACAGGCGGUCAAUGCACAGCUUGUCCAACAGCAGGCCCUGGUUGCCCAGUCAGCAUACUUGUCUCCUGUGGCAACAGUUGCUGCCGUACAGAUGCAGCAGAUGGCGGCACUCAAUGCCAACGGAAUCAUUGCCACACCCAUUACACCCAUCACACCGUCGUCGGGUACAAACACUCCACCAACUAUUGCAGCAACUAUACCAGCUCUCCCUCCACCAAUCGGAUUGAAUGGUUACAGCAGUUUGCCGGCCACGACCAAUGGACAACAAGCAACAGAAACAUUAUACACCAACGGUGUCCACCCAUAUCAAGCUCAAAGUCCAGCAGCAGCUUUGGACCCCUUACAGCAGGCGUAUGCUGGUAUGCAGCACUACACAGCGGCGUACCCUGCUGCAUAUGGAUUGGUUGGGCAGCCGUUCCCCCAGCAGCCAACACUGGUUGCCCAGCAACACCAGCAACCCCAGCAACAGCAGCAGAGAGAAGGUCCAGAGGGGUGUAACAUCUUCAUCUACCACCUGCCCCAGGAGUUUAGUGACUCUGAGAUGCUGCAGAUGUUCCUGCCCUUUGGCAAUGUCAUCUCAGCGAAGGUGUUUGUGGACCGUGCCACCAACCAGAGCAAAUGCUUCGGAUUUGUGAGUUUUGACAACCCAGCCAGCGCCCAGGCCGCCAUCCAGGCCAUGAAUGGCUUCCAGAUCGGCAUGAAGAGACUGAAAGUGCAGCUCAAAAGGCCCAAAGAUGCCAAUCGCCCAUACUAAAUAAAAAGUGAGGGGAGGAAGAAGAAAUGAAAAGACCCUUCCGUCCAAUCAUAAUUCACGAGGACCCCAUCGCUAUGGCAAUGGUUGCCUAGUGACCGAUAAAGCCCUGACCCCCCCUUCCUCUCACAUUGUUGUGACCCUGCAGAGUCCAGCUAAAGUGGGAUCCCAGGGUCCAUUGUGCUUUCAGACUGUCUGCUACCUUUGAGUGUCCAGAGAGUGCAGUCGCACACACACACACACACACACACACACACAUGCUUACACAAAAACACGCACUCUCAACACUGAACCUCAAACGGUACACGGCCGAUAUACAAAUGUACAUAUACAAGUGCACAAACACAGACAUACACAUACCUGCCAACACUCACACAGAUACACGCAGUUCACAUGAGUCAGUAAUCUUGCCUGGUUUGACCAGAGUCUGUGUGGAGUUUGCCAACAGGGUGUUGAUUUCAGUUAAGACAACCUGGACCAAGUGUGUAUGAAGGAAACUGAUGGAAAAUGAUGAUAUAUCACUCCAAUAGACUUUAUCAUGUCUAUACCAUGUCUAUUACAUGACAAAUAUAGAGGGACCGAUCUUUCAUAAUGAAAAAAAGAAGGAAAAUGCAAAAAAAGACAAUUAAUUGAGUAGGUUAGAGAGACUUUGGAGAAAAUCCUUAUGACCUGUAAAUAAUUUAGUUUACAAAGAGCAGCAUUUAAAAAACAAGAAAAAAAAAUGCAAAAAGAAUACUACUUUAGAUAAACACUAAACAGGACACAGCAACAUCAUUAUUAUUAUUGUUAUUAUUAUUAUUAUUAUUGUUAUUAUUACUAGUAACAUCAUCAUUUACAUAAAGGUAUAAUACAUUCCAAAUUGUAAAAUGGGAAAUCACUAACCUAUUUUAAAUUUCUACUUAGAUUUUAGGUGAAACACUGGGGAGGGAGGGGUGGGGGUGGGGGGUUGCACUUUUAUUCGGGAGGUUUAAUAUUUGAGCUAUUUUUUAUUUAUUUACUAAUUUAUCAAUUAUUUUGUUUAUUGGGAGAAGGGGUUUGAGUGGGUUGCAAUAUUUUAAUUUUAGAAUUUUUUAGAGAAAACUUUUUGAGGGCCUGUUUCUGUCAGACUCUUGCAAUUGUAUGUAUUAAUUAUGACAGCAAUUAUAUUUAUUUCUAAUUUAUUGAAUCCUGUUUUUGAUCCACUCUCUUUUUAAGUUAAAAUAAAAAAAUAAUAUCAUA